rnacentral:piRNA from 1 species
CAGGCACUUGUAACUCCCAGGGGAUGAAUCC